GACGAACGCUGGCGGCGUGCUUAACACAUGCAAGUCGAACGGAAAGGCCCUGCUUUUGUGGGGUGCUCGAGUGGCGAACGGGUGAGUAACACGUGAGUAACCUGCCCUUGACUUUGGGAUAACUUCAGGAAACUGGGGCUAAUACCGGAUAGGAGCUCCUGCUGCAUGGUGGGGGUUGGAAAGUUUCGGCGGUUGGGGAUGGACUCGCGGCUUAUCAGCUUGUUGGUGGGGUAGUGGCUUACCAAGGCUUUGACGGGUAGCCGGCCUGAGAGGGUGACCGGCAACAUUGGGACUGAGAUACGGCCCAGACUCCUACGGGAGGCAGCAGUGGGGAAGAUUGCACAAUGGGCGGAAGCCUGAUGCAGCAACGCCGCGUGCGGGAUGACGGCCUUCGGGUUGUAAACCGCUUUCGCCUGUGACGAAGCGUGAGUGACGGUAAUGGGUAAAGAAGCACCGGCUAACUACGUG
rnacentral:rRNA from 1 species